CUUUGGAUCGAUCGGAGACCCAAGGCGGAAGGAG
rnacentral:ncRNA from 1 species